rnacentral:rRNA from 1 species
GAUGAACGCUGGCGGCGUGCCUAAUACAUGCAAGUCGAGCGAACAGACGAGGAGCUUGCUCCUCUGACGUUAGCGGCGGACAGGUGAGUAACACGUGGAUAAACUACCUAUAAGACUGGGAUAACUUCGGGAAACCGGAGCUAAUACCGGAUAAUAUAUUGAACCGCAUGGUUCAAUAGUGAAAGACGGUUUUGCUGUCACUUAUAGAUGGAUCCGCGCCGCAUUAGCUAGUUGGUAAGGUAACGGCUUACCAAGGCAACGAUGCGUAGCCGACCUGAGAGGGUGAUCGGCCAAACUGGAACUGAGACACGGUCCAGACUCCGACGUGAGGCAGCAGUAGGGAAUCGUCCGCAAUGGGCGAAAGCCUGACGGAGCAACGCCGCGUGAGUGAUGAAGGUCUUCGGAUCGUAAAACUCUGUUAUGAGUGAAGAACAAAUGUGUAAGUAACUAUGCACGUCUUGACGGUACUUAAUCAGAAAGCCACGGCUAACUACGUG